rnacentral:rRNA from 1 species
AUUGAACGCUGGCGGCAGGCCUAACACAUGCAAGUCGAACGAGUGGCGGACGGGUGAGUCAUGUCUGGGCAACUGCCUGAUGGAGGGGGAUAACUACUGGAAACGGUAGCUAAUACCGCAUACCAUCAGAUGUGCCCAGAUGGGAUUAGCUAGUUGGUGGGGUAACGGCUCACCAAGGCGACGAUCCCUAGCUGGUCUGAGAGGAUGACCAGCCACACGGGACCUGAGACAGGGUCCAGACUCCUAGGGGAGGAAGCAGUGGGGAAUAUUGCACAAUGGGGGCAAGCCUGAUGCAGCAAUGCCGCGUGUAGGAAGAAGGCCUUCGGGUGGUAAAGUACUUUCAGCGGGGAGGCGUUACCCGAAGAAGAAGCACCGGCUAACUCCGUGCCAGCAGCCGCGGUAAUUC